UCGCACGAGUUCUCGUUGAUGAUCGGUGCUUGCACCGUAGAUUCAACAUGGAACGAGUGGCGGACGGGUGAGUAACACGUGGGUAACCUGCCCUUAAGUGGGGGAUAACAUUUGGAAACAGAUGCUAAUACCGCAUAGAUCCAAGAACCGCAUGGUUCUUGGCUGAAAGAUGGCGUAAGCUAUCGCUUUUGGAUGGACCCGCGGCGUAUUAGCUAGUUGGUGAGGUAAUGGCUCACCAAGGCGAUGAUACGUAGCCGAACUGAGAGGUUGAUCGGCCACAUUGGGACUGAGACACGGCCCAAACUCCUACGGGAGGCAGCAGUAGGGAAUCUUCCACAAUGGACGCAAGUCUGAUGGAGCAACGCCGCGUGAGUGAAGAAGGCUUUCGGGUCGUAAAACUCUGUUGUUGGAGAAGAAUGGUCGGCAGAGUAACUGUUGUCGGCGUGACGGUAUCCAACCAGAAAGCCACGGCUAACUACGUGCCAGCAGCCGCGGUAAUACGUAGGUGGCAAGCGUUAUCCGGAUUUAUUGGGCGUAAAGCGAGCGCAGGCGGUUUUUUAAGUCUGAUGUGAAAGCCCUCGGCUUAACCGAGGAAGCGCAUCGGAAACUGGGAAACUUGAGUGCAGAAGAGGACAGUGGAACUCCAUGUGUAGCGGUGAAAUGCGUAGAUAUAUGGAAGAACACCAGUGGCGAAGGCGGCUGUCUGGUCUGUAACUGACGCUGAGGCUCGAAAGCAUGGGUAGCGAACAGGAUUAGAUACCUGGUAGUCCAUGCCGUAAACGAUGAAUGCUAGGUGUUGGAGGGUUUCCGCCCUUUCAGUGCCGCAGCUAACGCAUUAAGCAUUCCGCCUGGGGAGUACGACCGCAAGGUUGAAACUCAAAGGAAUUGACGGGGGCCCGCACAAGCGGUGGAGCAUGUGGUUUAAUUCGAAGCAACGCGAAGAACCUUACCAGGUCUUGACAUCUUUUGAUCACCUGAGAGAUCAGGUUUCCCCUUCGGGGGCAAAAUGACAGGUGGUGCAUGGUUGUCGUCAGCUCGUGUCGUGAGAUGUUGGGUUAAGUCCCGCAACGAGCGCAACCCUUAUGACUAGUUGCCAGCAUUUAGUUGGGCACUCUAGUAAGACUGCCGGUGACAAACCGGAGGAAGGUGGGGAUGACGUCAAAUCAUCAUGCCCCUUAUGACCUGGGCUACACACGUGCUACAAUGGAUGGUACAACGAGUUGCGAGACCGCGAGGUCAAGCUAAUCUCUUAAAGCCAUUCUCAGUUCGGACUGUAGGCUGCAACUCGCCUACACGAAGUCGGAAUCGCUAGUAAUCGCGGAUCAGCACGCCGCGGUGAAUACGUUCCCGGGCCUUGUACACACCGCCCGUCACACCAUGAGAGUUUGUAACACCCGAAGCCGGUGGCGUAACCCUUUAGGGAGCGAGCCGUCUACAGGUGGGACAACAUGA
rnacentral:rRNA from 2 species